AGGGCCUCCCCGGGUGGGUGCCCCAUUCCGAUCCGCUGCCCCUGAGAGGUGGGCCUUGGGAGAGGCAGGGCUUGGACGCCCUUCCUCGGGGCAGCGGGGUGCAGGGAGAGUUCUUCUGGCUGUGAGUCCCGGAGUCCCCGACCCUGGCACCCCUUCAGCAAGGUUCUCAGGCACAUCUGCCGGGGGCGCUGAGGGGACCUGAGAUGGACGGGCCGGGAGGGAGGCUGAGGACGUGGCUGGCCUGGUCUGCCCCCAGCUGAGCCUCACCUGAGGGAGAGCUGGGGUGGGCCGCCUCGUUUACGACCGUGUAGUCGUCUUUUGCACACAAAGCCAUGUGAGUCCGUACGUGAGUCCUGUGGAAAGACAAGACAUGGAAUAGGAGUGACGUCCGUCCCCAGGCAUGAAGUGGAGAGCAUCACGCUGUGCCUGAGCUCCGGAUAUUUCUCCUGUUCUGGAGACAGUGAGAAGUGAAAGAGAAAUGGCUGCCCCUGCACCACUUACCGCGAAGGAGGCUCAAGGCUGGGGGGCCCCUCUGCCUUCCAGUGACCGCCCGUGUCACAUCCUGACCCGCUCAGCAGGAGAACACAGCAGGUCCCUCCGACCGCAGUCGGCCUCUCCAGCCUGCCAUGCCUCUGGCCAUGAGGCGACCCGCUGGAGUGAUGGAUUCCCGUCACUACCACCCACAGGGCGAGGGGGUGCAUUGGUCUGCUUGGGCCGCUGUAACAAAAUGCCACAGCCUGGAUGAGUGACUGACAUUGCUUCCCCACCGUUCUGGAGGCUGGAGGCCCGAGAUCGAGGUCCCUGACACUAUUUCAGUGAUGCCAGAGCCCAGGAGGAGUCGACCAAGCCCCAGCGUGGCCAUAAGCACCUUCGCAGGACCACGGAGUCGCUGCAGGUGUUCAGCCCUGUUGAGAGUGGGAGUCGGUGUCGAUGGUCACAGCUCAGUAACUCAUCGUCACCAGCGAGUACCACAGAGCAGACACAACUGCACUUCUCUGUAGAGCCUCCAGUCGAUACUGAGAGCCACUGGGGCGUCUGACACCCAAGGGUGCAGACAUUCACUCCAAGUCCAGAGACCGCGCCCUUUCUAAGGCCCUGUCUCACAGUCGCCCCGUGCUCAUUGUGCCGGAUGUUUCCACAGCCACAGAGACGGUGAGGUGCAGCCUAGUGCAUAUGACUGACAGAAACGUGAAGCCACAGUGGACGCCUGGAUGAGACACAGAUCACCUUCCAAAUCUGAGUGUGGCCUUGGGACCAACCAGGCAGCCAGGGAGAAGGCAGAGACCAGAGGGAACCCAGGUGCCCUCAAUCCCAGCCUCCUCUAUCCCAGCCUCCCAAUCCCAGCCUCCCCAAUCCCAGCCUCCUAAUCCCAGCCUCCUCCAUCCCAGGACCCCCACUCCCAGCCUCCCGAUCCCAGCUUCUCUGAUCCCAGCCUCCCCUAAAACCCAGACUCUAUGAAUCCCAGCCUCUGAGGUGGGAACUGUUAGUAACCCCACUCCAUGGACAAGAAAGCUGGGGCCUGGCGAGGCUAACAGACUAUCCUGAUGGUGUGAGGGAGGGAUCGGCCUCUGAGGGCUGCUUCCACCCAUCUCACCAGUGGCUGCAGGCUCCAGGCGCCACUUUCCUUGAGUCUAUGUUCUUUCCAAGCAUCCUGCAGCUCCAGAAGCUCUGGAGCCGCCAGCACUGAGAGAAGCGAUGGAGCUGCAUGCAGGGAAACUUUGUUGACAGCGGUGUCUGGAUGGACCAGCAGAGGGCACUCUCACCCACGGGGAAAAUCGUGCGCCCGGCCUCGUCCACCGCCAGAAGACGCCGCUACACAAUGGAGUCUCGCUCUGUCGACCAGGCUGGAGUGCAAUGGUGCGAUCUCGGCUCACUGCAAUCUCUGCCUCCCGGUGAGAGGUGAAGCCAGCUGGACUUCCUGGGUCUAGUGGGGACUUGGAGAACUUUUCUGUCUAGCUAAAGAUUUGUAAAUGCACCAAUCAGUGCUGUGUCUAGCUAAAGUUUGUAAACGUACCAAUCAGCACUCUGUAAAAAUGGGCCAAUCAGCACUCUGUAAAAUGGACCAAUCAGCACUCUGUAAAAUGGACCAGUCAGCAGGAUGUGGGCGGGGUCAAAUAAAGGAAUAAAAAGCUGGUAGCCGAGCCGGCAGUGGCAAACCGUUUGGGUCCUUCUCGGUACCCUGGUGGCUUUGUUGUUUUGCUCUUUGCAAUAGAUCUUGUUGCCGCUUGCUCUUUGGGGCCUCACUGCCUUUAUGAGCUAUAACACUCCCCGCAGAGGUCUGCAGCUUCAUUCUUGAAGCCAGCGAGACCACGAACCCACUGGGAGGAACCAACAACUCCAAACGCGCCACCUGUAAGAGCUGUAACACUCCCUGUGAAGGUCUGUGGCUUCACUCCUGAAGUCAGCGAGACCAGGAACCCACCGGAAGGAACUCCGGACACAAAGAACUGCAACACUCACCCGAGGGUCUGUGGCUUCAUUCUUGAAGUCAGUGAGAUUAAGAACCCACCGGAAGGAACCAGUUCCGGACGUGCCGAGUUCAAGCAAUUGUCCUGCCUCAGUCUCCGGAGUAACUGGGAUUACAGGUGCACGCUGCCAUGCCCAGCUAAUUUGUAUUUUAGUAGAGUCGAGGUUUCACCGCGUUGCCCAGGCUGGUCUCGAAUUCCUGAGCUUGGGCAACCCACUCACCUCGGCCUCCCAAAGUGCUAGGAUUACAGGCGUGAGCCACCAGGCCGGGCCCGUAUGGUGGUUUCUACUCCGGACUGACUCUCCCGGGUCUUGGUCACUCUGCAGAAUCCUGGACCGGAAGGGGGCCUCGGCCAGGGGAGGGCUUGCGAGGAGCCCCGGACCUACUGGCCAUUAUAGGGUGACGGGAAGUUCCUUGCAUCCCGGGAUCCCAUGGCACUUGGUCAGGGAAGCCUCCCCAGAGAGGCCCAACUCCCCAGAUCCAGGUGGGGAAUCAGGGUACCAGCCAGGCAGUGUUCCCACCCCAGCCAUGCUGCUGGCUUCCGUCCCUGUGGUGGGGUCACCCAGGUGGCUCAUGCCUCCACGCACAGCCUUGUGGACACCCCCACACCGCCCAUAGUCAAGUCAGAGCUCACGAGCCCACAGGGCAGAUACCCGCCACGAGGGGACGGUGGGCCAGGAGGGUCCUCUGUGGGCAGCGCCGUGUUCCUGAUCUCCCCAGGCUGCUGGGGGAUGGGGUGGGGCAGAGGAGGCCACCUUCCCAUUUCCCACUUUGCUGGGUCUCCCUCUUUGCUGGACAGUGCUGGGGCAGGUUACACACCCAUGACAGUGUGAGGACUGAGGGUGCGCGUCCUGGAGCCUUCAGGGCUUGGGUGGAGGGGGCAGCUUGUCCCCCUGAGGCCUGGGCCAGAGAUCCCAUUCUGAAUGCGGAGAGCCAAGAUUCUACCUGGAUCCUGGCCUUGUGGGUCACUGUGACGGCCCAGAGCUGACUUUAUGUGACAGUUUGUCCUGAGAUUUAAAACUGAAUAUUUAGACUCGUGGGAUCUGGGCAUCCACUUCAACCAAGGAUGGGGACAGGCAGCAGGGUGGAGGGUGGACGAUGCAGGAAGAUGCUGUAGGACCAAGAACAAGGGGGCUGUGAGGCAAAGGAGCAGCACGAGGAGCCGUGUGUGCCCACUGCCACUUGCAGCCUCAUUUCUCAACCCGACUGUGAUGACUGCCGCUUGCUGGAAAGAUGCUCUGAAGACACAAUGAACUGACAAUGCGUCACCCCGACUCCUGCCUGAGCCACUCCAUUCCUUAAAGACGGUACGUGACUCACGUCCUUGCUGUGUCCUGCACGAGAUAAGGUCUGGCAGGGUUGGUAAUUAUGCCUCUGGGAUCUGUAACCAGACAUUCUCUGUAACCAUUCUGUAUAAUCUGGACGUUCUCUGUAAUCCAGAUGUUCUGUGUAAACUGAAGUUCUCUGUAAUUGGACUUUCUCUAUAACCAGUUGUCCUCUGUAACCUUCUCUAUAAUCCAGAUGUUCUUUGCAACCAGAUAUUCUCUCUAACCAGACAUUCUGUAUAAUCCAGACAUUCUCUGUAACCAGAUGUUUUCUAUAAUCCAGAUUUUUUUUUUUUUUUGAGACAGUUGCACUCUUUUUGCCCAGGCUGGAGUGCAAUGGUGAGAUCUUGGCUCCCUGCAACCUCCACCUCCCAGGUUCAAGCGAUUCUCCUGCUUCAACCUCCCUAGUAGCUGAGAUUACAGGCAUGCACCACCAUGCUUAGCUAAUUUUGUAUUUUUAGUAGAGACGGGGUUUCUUCAUGUUGGUCAGACUGCUCUCAAACUCCUGACCUCAGGUGAUCCGCCCACCUCGGCCUCCCAAAGUGCUGGGAUGACAGACGUGAGCCACCGCACCCGGCCCUGGAUGUUCUUUUUAAUCCAGAUAUUCUCUGUAAUCCAGACGUUCUCUACAACCAGACAUUCUCUGUAAUCGGACAUUCAGUACAAUCCAGGCUUUCUCCGUAACCAGACGUUCUCUAUAAUCCAGACGUUCUCUGUAACCCACACGCAGCUCCGUGUGACUCUGCUCUUCCGUGACUUCUGCGUCUAUAAUCCAGACGUUCUCUGUAACCCACGUGCAGCUCCGUGUGACCCUGCUCUUCCGUGACUUCUGCGUCUAUAAUCCAGACGUUCUCUGUAACCCACUGCAGCUCCGUGUGACUCUGCUCUUCCGUGACUUCUGCGUCUAUAAUCCAGACGUUCUCUGUAACCCACUGCAGCUCCGUGUGACUCUGCUCUUCCGUGACUUCUGCAUCUAUAAUCCAGACGUUCUCUGUAACCCACUGCAGCUCCGUGUGACUCUGCUCUUCCGUGACUUCUGCGUCUAUAAUCCAGACGUUCUCUGUAACCCACUGCAGCUCCGUGUGACUCUGCUCUUCCGUGACUUCUGCGUCUAUAAUCCAGACGUUCUCUGUAACCCACUGCAGCUCCGUGUGACUCUGCUCUUCCGUGACUUCUGCGUCUAUAAUCCAGACGUUCUCUGUAACCCACUGCAGCUCCGUGUGACUCUGCUCUUCCGUGACUUCUGUGCACAUUUCGAGCUGCAUCACCAGAGCUGUGCCAGGAGCUGGGACUGUUCCGCAGCAGCCUGACCAUGUGCCUCUGAAAGACCCCUCCCGGGCUGCAGUGCUCAGAAAAACUUCCAAAUAAGAUGAACUUCCCUUAUUUAAAAGCUUGACUCCUUUUUUAGUGGACAGGGCUAUGAGCUGAGGGACACGAGACGUCCAGGACAGGAGGGCCGGCCUUGUCUCAGGCCCUGCUCCCUCACCAAAGGCUCUGUGCUCUGUUCUCCUUCUGAGCCAGCUGUCCUGAAACGGAGGCCCUUUUGUGACCCGACUUGGUCUGUUGGCGGGGGACAGACACCAAGGCCAUGUCUCACACCGGUCAUGGCCAGCCCCCGGCCCUCCUUCCCUCCUCCCCUCCUUCCCUGCUGUAGCCUUUAGGGUUCAGACCCUGGCUGUCCUGUCCUCAUUGGGGCUGAUGCCCUGCCAUGCCCCCCAGGAGCCCCCGUGCUCGGCAGGCUUGGGCUGGGAGGCGCAGUCUCCAGUCUCCAGCAGACACCACCUUACCCAGGUACAUGGCACUUUCCUCAUUAGGGUGACAUUUUCCUCAUCAGUGAGGCUCUCGCCUCCUGAGUUGCACCACCCCUGCGCCAGCGUGGUUGGUCUCCAGAGUCAUACAUGAGCAUGGCGGGCUUGCCUCCAGGAACCAGAGGGUCCUCUGGGGGUUGGGGCACAAGGGGCCGCCCUGACCUCCCCAGACCCUAAUGCGAUUCCCACAGCUCUCGUCCACGAAGCACCAGGCCUCGGCCACGUUUCUAAUCUCGUGAUCCCUCCUGGAAAUCCCAGACAUGACAGAUCCCAACGGGGUGAUGCUUGCAUCACUGAACCAACCCCAGGACACCGGAGAGCUGGCCGUGUGGGGAACCCGUGGAUCCACCUGGGCCCUGGAGCUGGGGAUGUUGGUAGUGUGCGGGGAGGCGGCAAGGCAAGACGGGCAGGAGGAGGCAGCUCUGUCCAGGGCCCAGGCGUCCCUCACGCCGUUUCCAGGCACCCGCAGACUUCAGGAGUCUUAGUCAUCGUUGGGUGUUUGGGGCUCUCUAGUCCCAGUAGGUGCUGGGACUCUCAAACCUCACAGCUACCACCCUGGUGCUAUCGUUACGGACGAUCGCACUUUUGAGAAAAUUGGGCACCGUUGCCAGAGCAGCAGUUAGGCCUCAAGCCAACUAGGCUCCAGAGCGCCUGCCGCCAACCAUCAUACCACAGGGCACGGUCUCGGAUAUUAAACGUCUGGUUGGA
rnacentral:lncRNA from 1 species